CCCUGAUGGAAAUGAAGAAUGCAUGACCAGGACAGUGGAGGAUGGCCCUGAUGGAAAUGAAGAAUACAUGACCAGGACAGUGGAGGACGGCCCUGACGGGAAAUGGAAGAUGUGGUGGAAAUGAAGAAUAAAUGCUGCUCCAUCCUACAAAGAAUGUCCACUGUGUUGUUACCAGAUGCUGAGACGGUACAACCUGCUGACUGAUGCAUACCAUAUCAUCAGCCUUGGAUACAAGUUCCUACUCACCCUCUCAGUUACCCAGGUAGAUCCUACUCACCCUCUCAGUUACCCAGGUAGUUCCUACUCACCCUCAGUUACCCAGGUAGAUCCUACUCACCCUCUCAGUUACCCAGGUAGAUCCUACUCACCCUCAGUUACCCAGGUAGUUCCUACUCACCCUCAGUUACCCAGGUAGUUCCUACUCACCCUCAGUUACCCAGGUAGAUCCUACUCACCCUCUCUGUUACCCAGGUAGUUCCUACUCACCCUCUCAGUUACCCAGCUAGAUCCUACUCACCCUCUGUUACCCAAGUAGUUCCUACUCACCCUCUCAGUUACCCAGGUAGUUCCCACUCACCCUCUCAGUUACCCAGGUAGAUCCUACUCACCCUCUCAGUUACCCAGGUAGCUUGUGAAUGAAGUUUCUCUACCUUAAAGUAUAUCAAGAGCAGGGGCUGGUAGUGAUGUAGCUAGGUGGUUGUAUUAGGGGUAGUGAUGUAGCUAGGUGGUUAUAUUAGGGGUUGUGAUGUAGCUAGGUGGUUGUAUUAGGGGUAGUGAUGUAGCUAGGUGGUUAUAUUAGGGGUUGUGAUGUAGCUAGGUGGAUGUAUUAGGGGUUGUGAUGUAGCUAGGUGGUUAUAUUAGGGGUUGUGAUGUAGCUAGGUGGUUAUAUUAGGGGUUGUGGUGUAGCUAGGUGGUUAUAUUAGGGGUUGUGGUGUAGCUAGGUGGUUAUAUUAGGGGUUGCGGUGUAGCUAGGUAGUUGUAUUAGGGGCUGGUUGUGAUGUAGCUAGGUGGUUGUAUUAGGGGUUGUGAUGUAGCUAGGUGGUUGUAUUAGGGGUUGUGAUGUAGCUAGGUGGUUGUAUUAGGGGUUGUGGUGUAGCUAGGUGGUUGUAUUAGGGGGUUGUGAUGUAGCUAGGUGGUUGUAUUAGGGGUUGUGAUGUAGCUAGGUGGUUGUAUUAGGGGUUGUGAUGUAGCUAGGUGGUUAUAUUAGGGGUUGUGGUGUAGCUAGGUGGUUAUAUUAGGGGUUGUGGUGUAGCUAGGUGGUUAUAUUAGGGGUUGUGAUGUAGCUAGGUGGUUGUAUUAGGGGUUGUGGUGUAGCUAGGUGGUUGUAUUAGGGGUUGUGGUGUAGCUAGGUGGUUG
rnacentral:lncRNA from 1 species